UUAUGCGGCACUCCCAACUACAUAGCUCCCGAGGUGCUGAGCAAGAAGGGACACAGUUUUGAGGUGGAUGUGUGGUCCAUUGGGUGCAUCAUGUAUACCUUGCUAGUGGGCAAGCCACCUUUUGAGACUUCAUGCCUAAAAGAGACCUACCUCCGGAUCAAGAAAAAUGAAUACAGUAUCCCCAAGCACAUCAAUCCUGUGGCCACCGCCCUCAUCCAGAAGAUGCUUCAGACAGACCCCAGUGCUC